CACAGCGACAGAGAGGCAGGCAGAGGCAGUCAGAGAGAGGCAGGCAGAGAAGCAGCACAGUGCACUCCUGGAUCUUUGAGGGCUAACUCUCCUUCACUCAUACCGGCAGCAGUAGAGUCUAACAAUGAAAGGAAGCUCACAUAAAGUCUGUCCAGGUGACACUGGCUCAAAAGAAACAGACAACUGCAGAAUGGAUUUUUCUGAAACAGAGGGGCACUUUAAGGCUUUUAAAUAAACUUUUAAUACAUACCUUUUGAAUUUCUCAAAACUUUUUUUUUCCCAAAAAAGACGGAGAAAGAAAAAAUGAACUGAAUGCAUUUGGCUUUGUAUUUCUAUAAGUGUUUGAAGCAACAGAAAGAUGACUGAUUUCCAGAAACCAAAAGAGGAUUGCUUCUGUUCUUCUGUGUUUGACACUGGGUUGCAUGGAAAAGCAAAAUCACAAAAGAAACCCAAGAGGGACCGAGCCAGGAAAAUUUAGCCUGCUCGGUAAUCGAAUGGUGAUUGCUUGAUCACACUGCCUUUUUACUUCUUUUAUCUGUAAACUUGACCUAGUGGUGACAUUUGAAGAGAAGCUGAAAGGGACUCAACCACCUGUUUUUCCAUCUGAAGCACUUGAAUUCCCUCUGUAACUAAUCAUCCUGAUCUCCGAUCAAUCAGUUGAUGAGGCAUAUAAAGAAUGUUGCCUUUAUCUUUUGUGGAUUCUUUUUUGAAUCAUGCAAAAACCACAGGAGAAACCUAAAUACAUUUAUUGUGGAAGCUGGUAUCUGGAAGCAUCCUGAUUUGCACUAUAAUCAACAGACAGGUCAAAUCAAAGAUGGACACAUCCUCAAAUAAUACUAUAGAAGCUGCCACUGGGGGUUGGCUCUUGAGUCCCCUGAUGGCCAUCAUCAUCCUAAUUAUUGUGUUUGGGAACCUGCUGGUCAUUAUAGCCAUCACGCGCACCUCCCAGCUGCAGACCACAACCAACAUCUUCAUCAUGUCUCUGGCCUGUGCAGACCUUAUCAUGGGUGUCCUCGUGGUACCUCUGGGGGCAACCAUCAUUAUAUCAGGUGAAUGGCUGCUGAGCACCACUUCUUGUGAGCUGUGGACCUCGGUGGACGUCCUGUGUGUGACCGCCAGCAUCGAGACACUGUGCGUGAUUGCAGUGGACCGCUACAUCGCUAUCACCAGACCCCUCCGAUACAAGGUUUUGCUGAGCAAGCGGCGUGCCCGGCUCAUCGUGUGUGUGGUGUGGGCCGUCUCCGCGCUUAUCUCCUUCCCACCCAUCAUGAACCACGACUGGCGGGACAUGAACAACACCGAGGCGCAGGAGUGUUACAAUAAGUCCACCUGCUGCGACUUCAUCACCAACAUGCCCUACGCCAUCGCGUCCUCCGUGGUCUCCUUCUACAUCCCCCUGAUCAUCAUGAUCUUCGUCUACGCCCGCGUCUUCAUCAUCGCCACCGGGCAAGUGCAGCUGAUCGACAAGAACCGCCUGCGUUUCCAGAGCGAAGGGGCCCUGGUGCCACCGCAGUCGCAGCAGCUGCAGCAGCAGCCUCACGGCAACAACAACCUGCCGGCCUCUGGUGCCACGGCGACCCGCAGGAAGAACUCCAAGCGCAGGCCCUCGCGGCUAACGGUUGUCAAAGAGCACAAAGCGCUCAAGACCCUGGGCAUCAUCAUGGGCACCUUUACCCUGUGCUGGCUGCCCUUCUUUGUGGCCAACAUCAUCAAAGUUUUCUACAGGAACACUCCUGAUCGCCUGAUCUUUCUCCUGCUCAACUGGCUAGGUUACAUCAACUCCGGCCUCAACCCCAUUAUCUACUGCCGCAGUCCCGAGUUCCGUACCGCCUUCAAGAACUUGCUGGGCUGCCCGUGGGUCUCUGCGCCGCGCUUGAACGUCUUCUACAAGGAGUUCCGGACUCACUGUCCCUGUUUGUCGGGGGCACCAGAAGUGAGCCUGGGCGACUCCUUCCAGAAAAGGCCCCCAGAGAAAACCGAGGGGACACGGGGGGGCGAGAGCCUGACCAGUAGCCAGAGCAGCUGCAGGAGUGAGGAGCCCUCCCCAGGACCCCCGUUUUCCAACGGCAGCACUCACUUCAGUGACCUCUCGGAGCCUGAGACAGAGAUAAAAUCGGUAGAAAACCAGGCCCCAGCGUUUUCUCCUCAUGGCUCAGAAACAGGCGUGUCAAUCAUGCCUGGAGAAAUCCUGCAGCACAGAUGACUUCAUGGUCGCAGGGUUGUUGAACUAAUGAAACUCAUGUGCCGCCUGAAGAUAUGAGCUUCUUCUUACAGGAAAAAGACAGCUGAGAAAGAACUGACAGAUCUCCAGAAAAUGAGGAAUGGGCUUUGCUGUGACUGGCUGGCCGGGCUACCUAGACCAUCACUACAAACAACGCUAUGGACUGAUCAGAUGGUGGAGAGACUGUCAUGGCCAUAUCUGAAGAAAAGAAGUUGCCCCCAGUUUUUUGUGGGUGAAACUGGACAACCAGCCCAGUUUAUUGUGCGACAGUAAGAAGGAAAGCUCUCUCCUGCUAAUGUACUUGGCCAUGACUGUGCCCUUUUGCAGCUAGAGACAGAGAGGAGCUUGAAGCAUUCGAAAGCACUCUGUGAAUGCCCUAGCUCUUAAGAUGUUCGGUAGGAGGCUCCACUGAAUGAAUAGGACUUUGCUUACAGCUAUGGUAUGCUGUCCACAUCUACCAAGUGCACAGACUUGAACUUGAUCUAACAACCUGUGACACACACCCAGCACUGCACCUAAUCUCCAGCACCAUGUACAUUUACAAGCAUAUAAAAUGUAAUAUUAACUCUUUACACUUUUGUCCUAUCGAAGGACACACAGUAGUCGUGUAAUGUGAAAAAAAAACAGCAUUUCAGCAUUCAGGCACAAUUCUAGUUUCUGUUAGACAUACAGUCAAUUACUGCAUUCAGAAUGCCAUUUGAUUUUGUUGAUUUUCCCAUUUAAUUUUUGAACUUCACAUUCGGUUCACCCAUCCUCUCUAUGCCUCACGGCAUUAAUUCAGCUUGCAGUCUUGUUCUACGCUCGGUUUCCCUCUUUAGAACCCGAUUUUAUUACAGAAGUCACAGAGGAAUUCCCCUCCAACCACACAAAGUAAAGUGGUGACUGAGUGAUGGUGUAGCAACCUGAUCAUCAGUGCAUGGGACUUGAAAAUCUGCAGAUGUGAAUUUGUUUGCAGCUAUCCUGAGCGUUAGAAAAAAACAGACAGUAACUGCAGCAAGAAUGUGCCAGCUUUCACAGAUUUAUUGAGUUUUUGCUACCUCUUACAGCCAAACCACCUUCCUCUAAGAUAAAAUCUAAAUCUAACUGUAUUACAAGCAGAAACCAUUACUACUGGGCAGUACCUUCAGGAAUCCUCCACGUAUCUUCAUAACUGGUUUACCAAGCUACACAAAAUGGACUUAAGAAAUAUCGUUAUGCAUCUUCGUCUCACAUCGGCACAUAAAUUGUAAGCAUGUGGCAGCUUCUCACUCAAAGGCACUGAACUAUAAGGCAGUUCUGAGCCUUUUUUUCAAAACAGAAAAGCAAGUCGGAGGAAAGGAGAUGUGGAAGAGCUCUGUGCGUUAUCACUCGAGUCGUAAGUCAUGACGCACUUGAGAUAGGUGCAUUAAGCAGCUAUUUAAAAUAAUUCUGAACAAGAUUUGCAAUUUUAAAUUGGCACAAACCAAUGAUCACUGCAAAAGCUUUGCUUUAAUCAGCCUUAUUCUAUUGUUCUUUAAUUGUUCAACUUUGUUUUUCCACAUAAUGCAUGCCACUGUACUUCAGACUACAGCAGUACCUACAUGUUCCAGAGUGGUACUGUACAUCUUUUAUAAAACUGACCAGGGCACAGAGCCCAAGAGAGCCCAGAGAUAGCAGGUUUGAAUCCAGUUGGUCUCUCUUAAGGAUUUCAGCCAAGUCUGAUGACAAACAUGGAUCCACGCUUUGCCACACAGCCCAGAGAAACACACAAAAUUCCUGUUUCAUAGCAGGUGGAUCUGUUUUGGAUAUUGCAAAGUGCAGACUCUUUCACAAAUGAUAAUGAUGGAGGGGAAAAGCUUAAUAUUUUAUACUGUUUUACCUUCACAUGUCUGCCUGUGCAAAUCUACUCACAGUAAGGUAGCAGGUUUGAAACAUACAUCAUCUCGUGUCAGAUGAUAUAAGCAUUAGCCUCCCAAGAUCUGAAAUAGAUCAAACUUCUGUGUAAUGGAAGUCUUAUCUGUUGCCUGGCAAAAACAGCCCAUUCUGAAGCUGUAGGUAAAGAGUGUUUCAGUUGUGUUGGCAAUGUGAUUACCAUCUGUAAGGAAAUGUGGGGAAACAGUUUCCAGAAAGAGCUUUCUUAUCAAACAAAUGGAACACGAAUAUAAUAAUACAGUCAUGCAUUCAGAAUUGUGGAAAAUAUUAUUCAGGAGCGCUUGAUCUUCAGAAGACACCCAUAAUGCUUCAAAUGCUAAACUUCAGAAAAGAAUAAACUGUGAAAGAAAAAAAUCGCAAGUUACUAGCGCACAAGUUUUAAUUAGAUUACACCACAAAGGCUGCAGCCUGCCAACAGGUGGCAGUGUUGAGCAGCAGCUGUUUCGCACACGGGCACCCAGAUGACACUUUAUCUUUGGGUUGUGAAUUUUCUUUCAUUCACUAUUGUCUUUUCUUAGAUGAUGCCUAAUUUAUUUCAGUUAUGUCACUUGUUUUAUUAUUAUUGAUACUAUAUCGUAUGCCGAUGUGUCAUAAUGAUAUAUAAAUGUUUAUUUUUAUACAAUGUUAACUGAUGUGUAGGGAGAGUGAUACAGCAUUUUACUGAGUUGUAUGUAAUAUAAAAAACAAAAAACUGUACGAAAGAUCCCUGGUGUUUAAAACUGAAACUUUGAGGGAAUUUACAUUGAUAUGACCAACUGUCAAUUUAUUUGCUAUCAAACACGCAAGAGACUAUCUUAGGUUUAGAAGUCAUGCUCUCGAUUGCACUUGGUUCCUAUUUCUGUUCUGACUCAGUAUUCUGUCUGGUUUCUCUGUUCUGUAGAACAUAGUGUAAAUGCAGUUAGCCAUUCAUCCAAAUUCCUCAAGGCAGCUGUGCCAUGCCCUCAGAAACAGUAGCUAUACACCCUCUUACACUUGACUUUUCCAGUUUGUUACAUGUCAUCAAAACGAAGACAAUACUGGUACACUCGAGAAAAUAAAACAAAGUCAGUGGUCUCGGAAACAAAAUCCUUCUAGGGACCCCUUAAGAACUUCUCACGACCACAUGUUUAAAUCAAGCACAGAGGGUCACUGGGUCAUGUAAAAUGGGUAUUGUGGAAGGUGUGGUGUUUAGCACCGAACAUCACAGCUCUUGGGUCUGUUUCUGUCCUUCGGGACCUGUCUGUUACACAUCUGUAGGAUUUCCACAGAUUCAGGUGGGCUUUCACCAGGUGCUCUGGCUUCCUCCAACCUCUUGUACUCGUGCGAGUAAGGUUUGACUGGCUAGAUGGGCUCGCCCUCUCAUUACUUGUCCAUGAGCAGAGUGGCCUGGGUCCCACUCCUCCCUUCAACCAGUCCUGCUGGUGGGACUGCACAAACAGAACAGAAAUGUUCCAGCUUGUACUGUACGUACAGUACCUCUUCCUUCCUGGAGUCUCCUGGAAGAAAGAGGCUUUAUCUUAUGGAGUUCAGUCCAGUCAGAGUGCUUUAACAGAACUCUGAGCUGACUGUUUUCCACAGCUUUUUCACAUCACAACACACACAAUUCCCAGACAUCAGUGGGACACACAGUCCCCCCCACAAACUCUCCCUAGGAAGCCUACCGUUGAUUUGACGGCAGUAAAAAGCUUUCAUCUGGAUGGACAAACCGCUCCUCCAGUGUCUUUGCCUGAGUUGUGUAAAACGAAUGUUUCACCUUCACAGACGUUCAACGAUUAAGCAGCAUGAAAAUAAGAGACAACUGACAGGAAACAGGAAAGGUACACGAAAACAUUCUGUCAUGAUGUCGAAGAACACGGAAGAGGACAGAAGUGGAAAUGUUCUUCCAACAGACUAGUUUGGGUCUGACUUUCUGCACACCCUCUUAACUAACAGAAAAAGAGGUAGAGAUGGCUGUCAACUGUAACCUGCUAUGGCUGUUUUUUAAGCAGAACAUGCAAAUCACACAUCACAGUGCUGCUCGGAACGCAAACCCAAGUGGAAAAGAUCUGUGAUAACAUUAUUAACACGAGUUCACGGAAAGACCAGACAGAAAGUGCUCUGAACCACACAAAAAGUAAAGCACAUGCAUACAAGAAGCACAGAAAUGGAAACCAAAGCUGUGGAAAGAUAAUUAGCCGUACAAAUGUGUACAAAUGCCAAGCCCUCCCCUGAUAGUUCUGCAUAGUUUGCAGGCAUUCCCAAUACACAUCCCUUUCCAAAUCCAUAAUUGACAACAGAUCCCACCCGAGCCAGAGAUCUCUCUCUUAAACAGUGUACAUAGUGUUUUGUAAAUGCCUCAUCUUGUAUAUAAGUGGAAAAAAAGUUUAUUUAAAAUGGAGUAUAAAAUAUAUAAAUAUACAAAGAAACAUA